UCUCUUGUGUGGACUGGUCCAGGCUGAGGUUGAUGGUGGGGUGGAUAUUGUUGAAGUCCUGGUGGAAUUCUUCAAGGGCCUUGUAAGGUGAUUUUGGUACAUGGUCAUAUUCUGUUAUGAAUGUUGCUGCAAUUCAAAAUGGAGUUUAAAAAUUCAAGAUGGCGCAUAUGAUAGGAAGGGUUUGAACUCCAUCUUGGUACCCUUUCUUCAUGGCAUUUUCUCACCAAAACUCUUUUUUUCUCACAGAACCUGAGGGACUGAGAACUGGCUGGACCCGGUGGGGGCGGGGCCUGUCAGCGUGUGCCUCACGAAUGUGCGCCACAGAGAGCGUACAAGGGACGGUCAGUGGUGAUGCAGGCGCUGUCCAUCAUCAAGGCAGCCACGUCCAGGUUCUUUGCGCAGCAUCAGAUCAAGACUUCAGCUACUAACAUCUGUCAAGGACUCUGAUACUUACCUGACUCCUGUAAUCCACCAAAGGAUCCAGUGAAGGCUUUGCUACCUGCUCAGAUCUGUUGAUCUCCUGCUUCGGCAGUAGAGAGCCAGAUCCUCCGAUGUUCCAGAGAUCCUGAGACUGACCAUCCAUUGCCGGUGUCCUUCAUCUGCAGCUAGAAGAGAGACAGUAAUUGUUUUUCAGGCAUUUAUUAGUUUAGCCAAGGGACAGUUUAAGGGCCAGAGCUUUAUGCCCCUUGCUGGAAUCUAUUCAUGGGUAUUUGUAGUGUUCCCCAUAGUGAAUCUUCCCCCAGUGGUAUCUAUCCCUUAAUAAAUCUUCUUUCUGUU